rnacentral:rRNA from 1 species
GAUGAACGCUGGCGGCGUGCCUAAUACAUGCAAGUCGAGCGAACGGACGAGAAGCUUGCUUCUCUGAUGUUAGCGGCGGACGGGUGAGUAACACGUGGAUAACCUACCUAUAAGACUGGGAUAACUUCGGGAAACCGGAGCUAAUACCGGAUAAUAUUUUGAACCGCAUGGUUCAAAAGUGAAAGACGGUCUUGCUGUCACUUAUAGAUGGAUCCGCGCUGCAUUAGCUAGUUGGUAAGGUAACGGCUUACCAAGGCAACGAUGCAUAGCCGACCUGAGAGGGUGAUCGGCCACACUGGAACUGAGACACGGUCCAGACUCCUACGGGAGGCAGCAGUAGGGAAUCUUCCGCAAUGGGCGAAAGCCUGACGGAGCAACGCCGCGUGAGUGAUGAAGGUCUUCGGAUCGUAAAACUCUGUUAUUAGGGAAGAACAUAUGUGUAAGUAACUGUGCACAUCUUGACGGUACCUAAUCAGAAAGCCACGGCUAACUACGUGCCAGCAGCCGCGGUAAUACGUAGGUGGCAAGCGUUAUCCGGAAUUAUUGGGCGUAAAGCGCGCGUAGCGGUUUUUUAAGUCUGAUGUGAAAGCCCACGGCUCAACCGUGGAGGGUCAUUGGAAACUGGAAAACUUGAGUGCAGAAGAGGAAAGUGGAAUUCCAUGUGUAGCGGUGAAAUGCGCAGAGAUAUGGAGGAACACCAGUGGCGAAGGCGACUUUCUGGUCUGUAACUGACGCUGAUGUGCGAAAGCGUGGGGAUCAAACAGGAUUAGAUACCCUGGUAGUCCACGCCGUAAACGAUGAGUGCUAAGUGUUAGGGGGUUUCCGCCCCUUAGUGCUGCAGCUAACGCAUUAAGCACUCCGCCUGGGGAGUACGACCGCAAGGUUGAAACUCAAAGGAAUUGACGGGGACCCGCACAAGCGGUGGAGCAUGUGGUUUAAUUCGAAGCAACGCGAAGAACCUUACCAAAUCUUGACAUCCUUUGACAACUCUAGAGAUAGAGCUUUCCCCUUCGGGGGACAAAGUGACAGGUGGUGCAUGGUUGUCGUCAGCUCGUGUCGUGAGAUGUUGGGUUAAGUCCCGCAACGAGCGCAACCCUUAAGCUUAGUUGCCAUCAUUAAGUUGGGCACUCUAAGUUGACUGCCGGUGACAAACCGGAGGAAGGUGGGGAUGACGUCAAAUCAUCAUGCCCCUUAUGAUUUGGGCUACACACGUGCUACAAUGGACAAUACAAAGGGCAGCGAAACCGUGAGGUCAAGCAAAUCCCAUAAAGUUGUUCUCAGUUCGGAUUGUAGUCUGCAACUCGACUACAUGAAGCUGGAAUCGCUAGUAAUCGUAGAUCAGCAUGCUACGGUGAAUACGUUCCCGGGUCU